AAGAAACGUUUGUAAAGAAUUAUACAGACAGAAGCCGAGGAAUAUUUCAAAUAUAUGAAUAAUAAAAAUGGAAAUAGAGAAAAAUUAAAUAUGACAUCCUCAGGAUUAGAUGAUCUACUAAAACUCUAUGUAGAUCUGGCUAAAAUCUAUCAAGAGUGCAAUUUUACUUAUAAUCUAAAGUUUAAUGAUUUAUCUAUCUUAACUAAAAGAAACAAGAUACUGUCUAUAAUCAAGAUAAAUUCUGUACUCAUUAUUCAGGGAACAACCAGCUGUGAAAAAAUGACUUAAAUCCAUUCCACGAUUCUUAAUACUUAUAUGAAGAAGAGGCUUAACUGUAAUGUUAUAGUUCGCAAUCAAGACAAAUUGCUGCGAUAAGUGUUGCCAAAAGAGUCAGCCAAGAAGGAAAUUGGGAUCUUGGUAGCCUUGUAGCCUUGGUAGCCUCAAGCUAUAUAGUACCUUAGUGAAAAGAAAAACUUCACUUGAAAUUCGUUUAACUGCAUCACCGAAAUUCUACUCCAACAUAUAAUUGAGCAUUAACAUAUGUUGAAUUAUACGCACAUUAUAUUAGAAUGAAAUUCAUGAACUAGACCAAAAUUUUGAUUUUCUAUUAUUUG